rnacentral:rRNA from 1 species
AUUGAACGCUGGCGGCAUGCUUUACACAUGCAAGUCGAACGGUAACAGGCCGCAAGGUGCUGACGAGUGGCGAACGGGUGAGUAAUGCAUCGGAACGUGCCCAGUCGUGGGGGAUAACGCAGCGAAAGCUGUGCUAAUACCGCAUACGAUCUAUGGAUGAAAGCGGGGGACCGUAAGGCCUCGCGCGAUUGGAGCGGCCGAUGUCAGAUUAGGUAGUUGGUGGGGUAAAGGCCCACCAAGCCAACGAUCUGUAGCUGGUCUGAGAGGACGACCCGCCACACUGGGACUGAGACACGGCCCAGACUCCUACGGGAGGCAGCAGUGGGGAAUUUUGGACAAUGGGCGCAAGCCUGAUCCAGCAAUGCCGCGUGCAGGAAGAAGGCCUUCGGGUUGUAAACUGCUUUUGUACGGAACGAAACGGUCUGGGUUAAUACCUCGGGUUAAUGACGGUACCGUAAGAAUAAGCACCGGCUAACUACAUGCCAGCAGCCGCAGUAACAC